AUUUUGGCAACUAAAAACUAUGAUUUUCCUGAAUAAAGCUUUGAUGGAUGGAAACAAAAGUGAUAAUUAAAACAAAGAAUUUCUCUUUAAACUAUGCAAAUUUAAUUUAUUUUGCUGAUUAGGAGAAGUUGGGUAUAAGAGCUUAUGUUCAUAUAAGGAUGUGAUCAUGCAUCAACUUCUAUGCUGUAACCCUCUGGUAUGUUGGAGAAAAUCUUAGAUAAAAGCAGAUGUGCAGGUUUUCUUUUUCUAUGAGUGUUAGAUAAUGUUUUUAAUUGGAGUUCAGGAUCAGCAAGUACUCAAUCCUUGGCAGUCUAAAUGCUGGUUGCUAGUGGAGUUUGUACAUUGGCAUGUAGAUUUCACUUAGAUAUUCAAAUGUUUUAUUUUUAUUAGUGAAGUGGUUAAAAGUUUUGUUUGAUCUGUGAUGUUCGGCAGUGCCAAAAUUGAUACCAAGUCUGAACUAUAUUUGAUACCGAAGUGUGUAUGACUGAUUUUUGGAAUGUUGAAAAAUAGAGCUAAUUAGUGAGAAGUAGUAACAUAUGGAACACUUGUUAUUCACUCAAGGUCACUGAAUUCUCAGGGUGCAAAUGGAUAUAGGUCAUCGUAUUUGUUAUUAGGGGCAGCUCUUCAGCUUGCUACUUAUGGGUUCUCUCUCUUUGAGGGGUCUGUUUUUAUUCAGGCUGUGUUUCUAAUUGAUGACCAUGUGUUCAGGUUUAACCCAAAAUCCUUGGAUCGAUCUAGUGAUAGACCAUGUAAAACUCCAUUGCAGGGAUUUGGUCUAUAAAAGCUUAAUCCUCGGUGAGUAUGCUAAAUGGAAAACUGCAUGUGUAGAUACAUCCGUUCCUCUCCCAGGAUGCAGAAUCCCAAUUUAACAUUUCAAAAGAAAGUGGAAGUGGAGACUGAAAGUACAUCUCUGACAUUUCUUCUUGUCCUUUUCCAUUGUGGAGGAAUUCUCUUCUAACUAACAGACUUGCUAUUGGGUUAUUCUCUUCGAUGGAUAGUCUUGGAGAUUUUUCCACCUCACUUUCAAUUUAUCCAUUGUUUUCCUUUUGAGACCUUUAGUUGUAAAAUAUGUGUGCAUCUUGGGAGUUGGUUUGACUGUGGUUCUGUGAAUUAACUAUCAUUUCUGUUAUGUUGACUCCGACGAAGAAUUGGGGCUUGUUUGAGGCAAUUUUGAAUUCAUGACUUUGAUUCUGGUUCCAUUAAAACUAGGUUGAUUGUGAAUUAAAGGUUGCUUUGUCUGUGUUUCCUGUGGUCCAUUAGCACUGAAUUAUGGUCUGAAGGUCUGGUGCUCUUAUACUGCUCUUGCAUGAGUACUUCUCUGCUUAGAUCAAUUUAUCAUAGAGAUUAAGGCAACAAAAGGAAAGAUUGUUUCUUAACUACUAGUUACCAUGCUGUUAAUUGAUCGGUAAAGGCUUAUCAAUUUGCAACGUCUGAGUGUUGUCGCUUCAAGACAGCUGGUCCUUAGAAUUUUUGCGAACUCUAUGAUAACUUGCCUACAACUUAGGUGAUUUACUUCUGCUAUGAUAACCUAGCAUAUGUAUGCUCUUGUUCACUUGAUAUAUGCUUGGAACAUUUGAUUUUUAGAUAGAUGAUUGAGAAAGGUAUGAUGCUAGAAAAAUAAUUGCAGUUUACAUAUGACAUGUAUUCCAUGAAGAAAUAAUGAAGAUCCAGGACAACUGACAGCUAAAAGUUUUAAUCCAAGGUGAGGAGUUGAUUUUUGUGUUUUUGGAAUUUAUGGAUUGCUACCAUAUCAUACCUUUAGAUACAUUGAAGAUUGACAGUUUGAAUAACAGUCAAGAUUUUGUGGAAUUUCAACGUGAUUGGAUAACAGGGAAGGAUAUGUAUAAUGAACCAAAAACACACUUCUUAGAGGACAUGACAAGGAAUUAAGGUUUUUUUUUUUGUUGCCUUGAAUGGAGCCCAAUUGAGCUGUAGGAGUAUUGCGGGAGGGGUAGUGGUGUGUUAAUGCGCUUCCAUGUUAUGUGGUCAGUGGUCACUUGUUUAUUUUUCAUAAUUUUUUGUUUUUUGGGUAAUAAUGGAGAGCACUGGCUCGAACCUAGGAUAUGGCCCUCCCAAACCUCAUGCCUUCACCACCUAACCUAGCACUAGUUGGUCCUUUAAUUCAUGAUCAUGACUUUCCACUUUGGGGCAAUAAUUCACUAAGAUAGAUAUGGAAGCUAAUAUUGGCAAGGGUCUCUGACGUCAAAUACACAGGUGCCCAACUGAAAUGUGAAGGAAAGAGUCUCAAUGUUCUUCCUGGUUACAGUGUCUGUCAUUUUCCAGAAACUUCACCAGAACAAGCUUUAUCCCUGCUCCUUUCAAGCAGCUUCUCUCUGGCCUCUUAAAGACCCUACGGAUGUCAGCUAGCUAGCUGCCAAUUCUAUGCACUUGAUCUGGUCCUCGUGAACGAGGGAGGGUACGAGAAAAACAUAGGCACCAAGUGCUACACUAUCCAUGGGCUGGGAUGGGACCUAGUCUUAAUUGCGCUUGUAUGCUGAUACAUGGUGCGUGUAAAAAAGAGAUUCGUAGUGAGGAGCAGUCCAGGUUGGCCAAACAAAAGAACCAGAAAGCCAUUUAAGGUAGGUAAGGAAAAGUUUUGCCUUGUGAAAGUGAACACGUUAGAGCCUUGUUUAGACUUGCAAACAAACCAGAGAAUCUUAACAUAACUUGCUGCUGCUCGCUAUCAAUUUUAGGAAAGUAUAAUUGAAGUGGACGAUCCACCUACUGCUGGGUAGUGGCCCUAGUCUUGAACAGGAAACUCCCUGUUCUUCCCCAUGAGGUGCAAGACAUUCUGACAAGUACAAUUCAGUUAUUACUAUUAUUAUUAUUACUGUUGUUCA